AAAUGAAUUGACGGGGGCCCGCACAAGCGGUGGAGUAUGUGGUUUAAUUCGAUGCAACGCGAAGAACCUUACCUGGGCUUGACAUCCGGUGCUAUCUAUAGAGAUAUAGAGUUUAGCAGCAAUGUUGACGCCGAGACAGGUGGUGCAUGGUUGUCGUCAGCUCGUGUCGUGAGAUGUUCGGUUAAGUCCGGCAACGAGCGCAACCCUUGCCUCUAGUUGCCAGCACGUUAAGGUGGGAACUUUAGAGGGACAGUCUGUUUAUGCAGAAGGAAGGUGGGGAUGACGUCAAAUCAGCAUGCCCCUUACGCCCAGGGCUACACACGUACUACAAUGACCGGUACAAAGGGCAGCGAACUCGCGAGGGUAAGCUAAUCCCACAAAGCCGGUCCAAGUUCAGAUUGGAGUCUGCAACUCGACUCCAUGAAGUUGGAAUCGCUAGUAAUCGUAGAUCAGCAUGCUACGGUGAAUACGUUCCCGGGCCUUGUACACACCGCCCGU
rnacentral:rRNA from 1 species